rnacentral:lncRNA from 1 species
AGUCUUGAACAGUCGCCCAGGCUGGAGUGCAAUGGUGCAAUCUCAGCUCACUGCGACCUCCGGCUCAUGCCUCUAAUCCCAGCAUUUCUUUAAAAUAAAAAGCAAACCCUAUAGUGCUUUACAAAUUUACAAGAAGCUCUCACAAUUUUGCACUUCUCAUGGCCAUCAUGUACAGCCAGCACAGAUGUGGAACCUGAAAUGAGAUGAUUCAGGCCACACAGCAGUGAAUGGCAGAGUUAGGACCUGAACUCGGGCUUCUCCGCUCCAGUCUAGGUUGGGAGAAGAUGGGGCUCCCCGGGCAAUAGGUUGGGCCCUGACCUUUGUUGGCUACUGAAAUGAGAUUGACGUGCUGCCAAGUAUACAGGCCAGAGUUCAGACUCCAACACAGAUCUGGUGUGAGCCACUCAAAGCAAGCCUGGCUGUGGACGUGUGCUACACGCAGCACUGGGCACCUUGAACCCCUUGAGCCCCUGGAAUGCCCCAAACACCCAUUUGGAAACCCCAGAUUGAGCCCAAAUAAGAUGGUAAGAAAGUCACAGAGUCUUCCACAGCACGUGAGGCAAGGUGUGUAGCAUAAGGUUUUAUGUCUGGGUAAGUGCAACACCAUGAUUGACAGAAGUACAAUUAUUCGGACAAUUAUGAACACAAGCCAUGAAUCAAAAGUUCAGGCAAGGCAGGCAAAGAAGACAUUUCAGAACAAAUGAACAGACUGCUUCUGAUGGAAAGAAUCUGGCCGCUCUGCUCUUCCCUGAAAAGCAUGCAUAGCUCAGAGUGCAGCCAGCAGACUGUGGACCUGCUUCUGGGGAGAAGCAGCAAUUCCCCCUGACGUGGAUAUCAGAACUUUUCUUCCCGUCACAAUCCGUUUUCAUCAUGCCUGGCUUGCACUCAGAGUGCUGUGCGUUCCCCCAAGCACAUGCCUGCUAGGUGGAGGGUGGGUGGGGCCCCCAGAAAUGGGUGGGAGCAGUGGAAACCAGAGGACACAAAGGACAGUAAGAGUGUCAUGACUGUUCCCAGAGUGGAUAAACAACCCUUGCAUGUUGGACACAAUCACCAGGAACUGAACAGACAGAGCCUCUUAGGCCCAUGUCUGAGCUGGUAACGAGAGAAAGGGGAUGCUAGCACUCCCGCCUACCCUUGGCUGUCGCUUUGUCACAGGCGAGCAAACAAAGGAGAACAGAGCCACAGAGAGGAGCACUUUGUACUUAAUCCCUUCCGGGACAGCUGCAGGCGAUUCGGAAGCCUCGGCAGCAAAUAAUCUCCUUAAACGUCUUGCGCAUCUCCCGGCUGCGGAAGGCAUAUAUGAGAGGGUCCACCACGGAGUUACACAUGAUGAGGAUGAGGUACAUAUUGAAGUGAGACAUGAAGCAAGAGCAGUAGAGGUUCUGAGGGCAAGAAAGCAUUAAAAUGAGAUGCAGGAAGAACGGGGCCCAGCACACGAUGAACACGCCCAGCAGCAUGGUGAGGGUGACGGCGCCCUGCACGCUGGUCCUCUGCCGGCCGAGCUGGCCCCGGGCAGAGCCGCCAUCCGCUUGGCGUGAGUCCGCGCCAGGAGGAACAUGUGGAUGUACAGAGACACCAGGAGGAAGAGCAUCGUGAAGAACAUGGAGAUGAGGCACAGGAUGACGUAGGUGGACUCGGAGUACAGGAUGAAGACGAUGCCGCAGCCGGUGCAGAAAGCCCAGAUGCCGGCGAUGAUGGCCCCCGAAAUACCGUCAUGAUGUGGUGGUAGCGCAGGGCAUAGAAGAUGGUGACGUACCUAUCCACCGCAAUGGCCAGCAAGCUGCACAUGGACGCCACCACGGAAAUGCAGAUCAUGGAGUCAAACGCGUUGUCAAUGUGGCGCACAAAGGCGUCUGCUAUCACUAGGUGCUUGUUGUUGAGCAGGUAGAUGGUGAUGGUCUCCCAGGCGUUGGACAUGCUCACCAGCAUGUCGGCC